GACGAACGCUGGCGGCGUGCCUAAUACAUGCAAGUCGAGCGAAGUUUUUCUGGUGCUUGCACUAGAAAAACUUAGCGGCGAACGGGUGAGUAACACGUAAAGAACCUGCCUCAUAGACUGGGACAACUAUUGGAAACGAUAGCUAAUACCGGAUAACAGCAUUAACUGCAUGGUUGAUGUUUGAAAGUUGGUUAUGCUAACACUAUGAGAUGGCUUUGCGGUGCAUUAGCUAGUUGGUGGGGUAAAGGCCCACCAAGGCGACGAUGCAUAGCCGACCUGAGAGGGUGAUCGGCCACACUGGGACUGAGACACGGCCCAGACUCCUACGGGAGGCAGCAGUAGGGAAUCUUCCGCAAUGGGCGAAAGCCUGACGGAGCAACGCCGCGUGAGUGAAGAAGGAUUUCGGUU
rnacentral:rRNA from 1 species